CUUACAGAGUUUAUUGGCAUUCUGUCCACCUCCUUCCACAUUACAUAUUGUUUUCUUUCUCUUGUUAAUGGAGGUGGGCAUACUGUCAACAUAGCUGUGUUGG